rnacentral:rRNA from 1 species
CCUACGGGGGGCAGCAGUGGGGAAUAUUGGGCAAUGGGCGCAAGCCUGACCCAGCAACGCCGCGUGAAGGAAGAAGGCUUUCGGGUUGUAAACUUCUUUUCUCAGGGACGAAGCAAGUGACGGUACCUGAAGAAUAAGCCACGGCUAACUACGUGCCAGCAGCCGCGGUAAUACGUAGGUGGCAAGCGUUAUCCGGAUUUACUGGGUGUAAAGGGAGUGUAGGCGGGACUGCAAGUCAGAUGUGAAAACCACGGGCUCAACCUGGGGCCUGCAUUUGAAACUGUAGUUCUUGAGUACUGGAGAGGCAGACGGAAUUCCUAGUGUAGCGGUGAAAUGCGUAGAUAUUAGGAGGAACACCAGUGGCGAAGGCGGUCUGCUGGAGAGCAACUGACGCUGAGGCGCGAAAGCAUGGGGAGCAAACAGGAUUAGAUACCCCAGUAGUC